rnacentral:rRNA from 1 species
CACGUAGGCGGCUUGGUAAGUCAGGGGUGAAAUCCCACAGCCCAACUGUGGAACUGCCUUUGAUACCGCCAGGCUUGAGUACCGGAGAGGGUGGCGGAAUUCCAGGUGUAGGAGUGAAAUCCGUAGAUAUCUGGAGGAACACCGGUGGCGAAGGCGGCCACCUGGACGGUAACUGCGCUGAGGUGCGAAAGCGUGGGUAGCAAACA